rnacentral:tRNA from 2 species
UGCCCUAUAGUUUAGCGGUAGAACUGCUGACUCUGGAUCAGCUAACAGAGGUUCGAAUCCUCUUAGGGCAUCCA